GAUGAACGCUGGCGGCGUGCCUAAUACAUGCAAGUCGAGCGAACAGAUGAGGAGCUUGCUCCUCUGACGUUAGCGGCGGACGGGUGAGUAACACGUGGAUAACCUACCUAUAAGACUGGGAUAACUUCGGGAAACCGGAGCUAAUACCGGAUAAUAUAUUGAACCGCAUGGUUCAAUAGUGAAAGACGGUUUUGCUGGCACUUAUAGAUGGAGCCGCGCCUCAUUAGCUAGUUGGUAAGGGAACGGCUUACCAAGGCAACGAUGCGAAGCCGACAUGAGAGCGUGGUCCGCUACCCUGGAACUGAGACUCGGUCCAGACUCUUACGCUGGGCCGCAGUAGGGACUCUUCCGGGAUGCGCGAAAGCCUGACGGUGCACCACCGCGUGAGUGAUGAAGGUCUUCGGCUCGUAAAACGCUGUUAUUAGGGAAGACCAAAUGUGUAAGUAACUAUGCACAUCUUGACGGUACCUAAUCAGAAAGCCACGGCUAACUACGUG
rnacentral:rRNA from 1 species